AUGGUCCACAAUAGACGAAGGGCCAAUGGAGCAACGCCGCGUGAGCGAAGCAGAUUUUCGGAUCGCAUAGCUCUGUAGUGAGGGAAGAACAAGUACAGGAGUAACUGUCUGUACCUUGACGGUACUUUAUUUGAAAGACACGGUCAACUACGUGCGAGCAGCGACGGUAAUACGGAGGUGGCAAGCGUUGUCCGGAAUUAUUGGGCGUAAAGCGCGCGCAGGCGGCCUUUUAAGUCUGAUGUGAAAGCCCACGGCUUAACCGUGGAAGGUCAUUGGAGACUGAGAGGCUUGAGUACUGUAGAGGAAAGCGGAAUUCCAGGUGUAGCGGUGGAAUGCGUAGAGAUGUGGAGGAAUACCAGUGGCGAAGGCGGCUUUCUGGUCUGUAACUGACGCUGAGGCGCGAAAGCGUGGGGAGCAAACA
rnacentral:rRNA from 1 species